AUGAAGAAGCCAGAAAGAAGGAAAAGGGUGAUGCCUCUUCUUCUGAUGCGUAUGUGGCUGAAACCCAUGGGAAGAAUGAGAACCGUAGACGCAGGAAUACAAGAUUUCAGCAAGGCAAAAAUAAAUCCAGGGGGAUCAAAGUCAAAACAGAGAAAAGAUAUUACUUGCUUUCAUUGUGGCAAUCCGGGACACAUAAAGAGCGAGUGCAGGAAGUACAAGAGAGAGCUUGUAGAGGGGAAACUCACCAAGAAAACCGAGCAAAAGGCUGAAAGCAGAUCAGCCAUGACUGCAACAGAUGAGGACUAUCUAGUCAUUGAAGAUGAAGAUUGCUAUAGUGUUGUUCGUGAUGAUGCCAUGAGUUGGGUUGUGGAUUCAGGUGCGUUCUUCCACAUCACAUCACACAAGGAGUAUUUCACAUCUUACACUAGUGGUGUUACUGGCCAAGUGAGGAUGGGAAAUAGUGGUUCGUCAGCAAUUGUUGGCAAGGGCUCUAUAUGCCUUGAAACAAACACAGGUUGGAGAUUGGUGCUCGAUGAUGUGAGGCAUGUUCUCGACAUAAGGCUGAAUUUGUUGUCAGUGGGCAAGCUUGAUGAUAUCAAACAUCCUAGUUAUUUUGGUGAAGGAAAAUGGAAGCUCACCAAAGGCCCUUUGAUUGUGGCUCGAGGAAGUAAGCAAGGUAAUCUCUAUGUGACUAAAACCAAGUUGUGCAAUGAGGUGUUGAACAUUGCUGAAAAAGACACUUCGGUUGAAUUGUGGCACAAGAGGCUUGGGCAUAUGAGUGAGAAGGGCAUGCAUGCUCUUGCUCGCAUGGAGUACCUCCCUGAGUUGAAAGGUGAUAUUCCUCGGAGAGUUUGGUCAGGGAAGGAGGUAUCAUACGAGCACUUAAAGGUCUUUGGUUGCAGGGCAUUUGUACAUGUUCCAAGGGACGAGAGAUCCAAGCUUGAUAACAAGACAAAAGCAGUGCAUCUACCUCAGCCAACCAAGUGA
rnacentral:rRNA from 1 species